AUAAUAGUAAUAAAUUCUUUUUUUAAAUGCGUGAAAAUAUCAUUUUUCGAAGUAGUUUCCACAAAAUAUUUAAAAAAAUAAAAUAAUGUGGCUAAUGGGAUUUGAACCAAGGUUUUAAAACCAUUAAAUAGCACUCUUAACAUUGAACUACAAGUCUUUUGAUAUAUGAAAAAUGUGUCUAAAUUCAUUUAUCUAACUUUUUUAGAAGGGGCUUGGGGUACAUUUAAAAGAAAAUUUAAUGGCCCAGGGGGGGCUGAAGCCCCUCCUGGGCCUUCAUUGGGUCCGCCCAUGGUAGCAUUGGUAGAUAUAACAGCAGCUAAAACGAAUAAUUGAAUUAGCUUAAGAAUGGUGGAGAAGACAGCUUCUAAAGCUGGGAACGAAGAAGCAAAACCAGCUCAAGGACAGCUAAGUGCAGCACCAGCAUACUUGAACGGAUUUGACAACAUUGGCAGCGUGGGCGUUUGAUAGCUUAGGCAAAGUUAGGACUGGAUGUGUGUAUGACUGUGUGAGUGUGUCGUUUUCAUUAUGAAGGUUGAGGAGGAAGAGAGGGAGAAUUGGAUUUAGCGAUUUCGCGACUAUUGCUUUGUGCUUUUCUUUACAUUUUUUUUUGUUUUCUAGGCAAACCCGAUUGGCUUUUUAUUUCAGUUCGGGUUCACUUGACCCGAAAUAAAAUCUAUCGGUUUUUAAAUUUAAAACCAUCAGUUCUAAGAGUUACACCAACCGAAUCAAACCCGAAAUACCCGACCCAAAUGCCUACCAAGCAUUCAAGGUUGGUAAAGAAUUUCAAUUUACAGUUGGUUUAGGAUUGCGGAGCAGGACAAAAUCUGAGCUCGGAUUUAGCUUAU
rnacentral:lncRNA from 1 species